AUUGUUAUAAGUAAAAUCUGCUCCAUGUUAAUAUAAAUAGCCGCAGAAUUUUAACUGUGCUAAGGUAGCAUAAUCAUUUACCUUUUAAUUAAAGGUUUGUAUGAAUGAUUUAACAUUUAAAUUACUUUUUUAAUCCCACACAUCAAAAUUUAAUUAAGAAUAAAAAUGUUCUUAUUAACAAAAAAGACGACAAGACCCUACUGAACUUUACUAAAGUUAAGCUGGGGAAGCUAGUUAAAUAUAAUUUUAGCUACCUUAGUUAAAUAAGUUUCUGGUACAGCCAAUUUGAACAAGUUACCAUAGGGAUAACAGCGUAAUAAUUUUUGAAAGCUCUUAUUAAAAAAAAAGAUUACGACCUCGAUGUUGAAUUAAAAUUACUUUAAAACGCAAUAGUAUAAAAGUAGGUCUGU
rnacentral:rRNA from 1 species